rnacentral:rRNA from 1 species
GUGGGGAAUAUUGGACAAUGGGCGAAAGCCUGAUCCAGCCAUGCCGCGUGUGUGAAGAAGGUCUUCGGAUUGUAAAGCACUUUAAGUUGGGAGGAAGGGCAGUAAGUUAAUACCUUGCUGUUUUGACGUUACCGACAGAAUAAGCACCGGCUAACUUCGUGCCAGCAGCCGCGGUAAUACGAAGGGUGCAAGCGUUAAUCGGAAUUACUGGGCGUAAAGCGCGCGUAGGUGGUUUUGUAAGUUGGAGGUGAAAUCCCCGGGCGCAACCUGGGAACUGCCUCCAAAACUGCAUGACUAGAGUACGGUAGAGGGUAGUGGAAUUUCCUGUGUAGCGGUGAAAUGCGUAGAUAUAGGAAGGAACACCAGUGGCGAAGGCGACUACCUGGACUGAUACUGACACUGAGGUGCGAAAGCGUGGGGAGCAAACAGGAUUAGAAACCCCUGUAGUCC